rnacentral:rRNA from 1 species
AUUGAACGCUGGCGGAAUGCUUUACACAUGCAAGUCGAACGGUAGAGGGGGCAACCCCUUGAGAGUGGCGAACGGGUGAGUAAUAUAUCGGAACGUGCCCAGUCGUGGGGAUAACGUAGCGAAAGUUACGCUAAUACCGCAUACGAUCUAAGGAUGAAAGCGGGGGAUCGCAAGACCUCGCGCGAUUGGAGCGGCCGAUAUCAGAUUAGCUAGUUGGUGGGUAAAGGCCUACCAAGGCUUCGAUCAGUAGCUGGUCUGAGAGGACGACCAGCCACACUGGAACUGAGACACGGUCCAGACUCCUACGGGAGGCAGCAGUGGGGAAUUUUGGACAAUGGGCGAAAGCCUGAUCCAGCAAUGCCGCGUGAGUGAAGAAGGCCUGGUGUAAGCUCUUUGUUCUAGGGAAGAAACGGUAGGACGU